rnacentral:lncRNA from 1 species
AUUUCCCAUGGGCCCCACUCUAGCAAUCAAUGGAAUGGCAUGACCUCAUUCAGUAGCUGUGCUAAGAAACUCUAGUCCAGGACUAAGCUCAUCCUUCUUCCUGGGAUGGCCUCUUUGACAUUUCUCUUCUCCCCCAGAAGCACUUUUGCACAGAGCCACACUUUGUGCUGUGUCUGACCCUUCUACUGUAGGCCUAAGCAUGGAAGAGAUGGCACCAUGGUAAUAGGUCACAC